rnacentral:rRNA from 1 species
UACAGAGGGUGCGAGCGUUAAUCGGAGUUACUGGGCGUAAAGGGCGCGUAGGCGGUCAUUUAAGUUAGAUGUGAAAUCCCUGGGCUUAACCUAGGAACUGCAUCUAAAACUGAAAGACUUGAGUACAGUAGAGGGUAGGGGAAUUUCCGGUGUAGCGGUGAAAUGCGUAGAGAUCGGAAAGAACACCAGUGGCGAAGGCGCCUACCUGGGCUGAAACUGACGCUGAGGCGCGAAAGCGUGGGGAGCAAACAGG